ACUUCUGCGGCAAGUCCGGGCGGCAAGAUGCUCUCGCAGACCUGAAAAACCCUCUUUGAUGUCGAGCUCUUCUCUCCCGACAGCCCCUCCUGGCCCCCGCAGGCCUCGGAAGGUCGUCUGAGGCGGCUCGCAGAAGGGUCCCCAGCCAGGACUCAGUGUGUCCUGGGCUCUCGCUUAAACCGGCCAGUGGCAAGGAGGCUGGAGUUCCCGGGAUUGGCUCACACCACGAAGACCCAUCCUCUGGGGCACUAGAGGACCCAUGGUUACCCCAAAUCAGCCCCAAAUGGUGUUCUGUUAGCAAAGAGGGGCCCAGCACGGCGAUCAGGUAGGCCGCGGACAUUCAGGGUUCCCCCAGUGAACUGCGAAGUAGCUGCACGAGGUCAAGCAGGUGCCCGGCCGGCACCCCUCAGAGGGGAACUUCCUUUGCUCCUGUCUUUGACGACAGGCUGGGCCGAGGUGGCCGAGCUUUGUGUCAGGUGGCUUCCCUCCUCGGCCACGGAUGACUGGACCGCAGGUGGGAGCCUGACCCCCAGCAGCCAAUCCACGGGCUUGCUGGUGACCAAUGACACGGCCUGACCCAAAAGGGCCCCAGGCCAGUGUGGUUGGCUGGAAUUCUGAGAAAACAGACAAGUAGAGGGGGCGGAGCACAUCCAGAAGCUUACAUCCUGGCGCUUCUGUUUGUAUACCUCUCUCGAGAUGACAAAAUUACAGCGGCGGGCAAAGACGUGCGGUUGCAUGGGCGGUGGCCGGGAAGAGGGUUUAGAAAGAAAAAGAGAAGCUGAGAUGCCGAUGUGAGGGACGGAAAGAAUUCACCUCCCAGAACUGCCAGAGACCCCGAGAUUUCCAGGCCCUGGUGGGCACACCUGUGCUGACUGCAAACCUAGGCACCUGAGCAGAGCAAGCUCCUGGCACUGUUUUACUUGUAAGCCACUCCAAAUCCCGUGGACAGAGGCAAAAGGCAAAAUUUCUCUGGACCAUGAGCUCUGGUAAUCAUUGCCACCUGCAUACACAGCCCAGACCUGGCACCUAAUAUAGUGCUCACGUAAAUAUUUGUUGGACGAAUUAAGGAAGGAAUUUGACAACAAACCAACAACAGCAGUGACAUUGAUUGAAUAGAAAUGCAAGUUACAAGUUGAUCCAAGAGCAAGAAAAUGUUACCAGGGAAAGUAGAGCUUCAAGAAGCAAAACAG